AUUCGAGCAGAUAUCCAGUGGUGCUCCUGACUCGUAGCUGACUGUUCAUGUAACACCAUCCUUACAUUGGUGAACAACGAACACAGUCACCCAUCAUGUUCAAAAGAUCGUCCUUCACAUCGCUGUUGAUCGUCUCCGUCAUCAUGGUGAUGCUGGUACUUGUGGUGCAGGCAAGAGCUCCGACUGUCGAUUUUGUGGUGUUGACCAAGAGCAUUCGGGCGUCAGACAUUGCGAGAGGGACAGUGAAUGUACAAAUACCCCUAGCGAAAAAUGUUGCAGUAACGCCUGUACCCUAGGAAUUCUUGUAGGGACUUCUGGUUAGUAGCAGUAAUGAUACAAAGGUUCCAUCUUGGAAAUUAUUGAUCUUUCUCAAGUACCCUGUACUGUUUUCGUUGAAGUUGGAAUAAAAAAAAUACACAAAAACAC